rnacentral:rRNA from 1 species
CUACGGUGAAUACGUUCCCGGACCUUGUACACACCGCCCGUCAAGCCAUGGAAGCUGGGUGUACCUAAAGUCGAUAACCGUAAGGAGUCGCCUAGGGUAAAACUAGUAACUGGGCU